GAUGAACGCUGGCGGCGUGCUUAACACAUGCAAGUUGAACGAAGCUUAUAGCACCUAUUCCUUCGGGGAGAAGUGUUAUAAGACUUAGUGGCGAACGGGUGAGUAACACGUGAGCAACCAACCCCUUACAGUGGAAUAACAACGGGAAACCGUUGCUAAUACCGCAUAAUAUCGCUAUAUGGCAUCAUAUGGAGAUCAAAGAUUUAUCGGUGAGGGACGGGCUCGCGUCCGAUUAGGUAGUAGGUAAGGUAACGGCUUACCUAGCCGACGAUCGGUAGCCGGACUGAGAGGUCGAUCGGCCACAUUGGGACUGAGACACGGCCCAGACUCCUACGGGAGGCAGCAGUGGGGAAUAUUGGGCAAUGGGGGCAACCCUGACCCAGCGACGCCGCGUGAAGGACGAAGGCAUUCGUGUUGUAAACUUCUUUGGAGAGGGACGAAAAUGACGGUACCUCUCGAACAAGCCACGGCUAACUACGUGCCAGCAGCCGCGGUAAUACGUAGGUGGCAAGCGUUAUCCGGAA
rnacentral:rRNA from 1 species